AAAACAUUUGUGUAUUUCAGUACACCCUCUCAAUGAUCUGUGACAUCGACUUCGAUUUCCAAGAGGAUGUUCUCAAUGGGAAACCAUCAAAGUGGUUCCCCUAAAGCCACAUGUGCCAGUCUACAUGGACAGUGAGCAGCAGUGUGCCAUUCUUUUUGAACACCUCAAAGCUCUGCUACACAAUUGUAAAACUCAACUGAACUUCACAAAUGAAGUGGAGUUCAUUUGUAGUUUUCUUUUUCCUGAGGUAGGCCUGCACAUGUUUGUCUAUUGGAUUGUUUCUAUUAUUGCCAUAUAUGAAAUGUUUUAUACAUUAAUUAAUUAAUGUAUUUAUUUAUAUGGACAGGCCAUCAUUCAUGGCCUAUGUGAGCUGCAGGCAUUAUCCUGGCAGGAGGCUGAGGAGGUGUUCCUUCGUGGCCCUACUUAUCACCCUAGUGAAGUUGAGGAAUUUGACCGGGUGAUUGCAAAAAGAAUGAGAAAAGAAGCAACAUUUGGCUACCAGAAAGUAAUUAUUUUACCUUAUGCAUUUACAUUACAUUUUACAUUUAUUCAUUUAGCAGACGCUUUUAUCCAAAGCGACUUAUAAAUGAGGAGGUUUUUUGAAUGCAAUUGAAGACGAAAAUAAAGUCACUAACACAAUUCUUUCUUCCUUUUUUCUUUGCUUUCUCCUGUUUACAGCAAGAUGACAGUGA